AUGGGUGAGUCGAUCCUAAGAGAUAGGAGAAUUCUUUUUGAAAGUGGUCCUUCCUCGGUUGGACCCGGCUAUCGAAAGGGAAUCGGGUUAAUAUUCCCGAACCAGAACGUGGAUACUGAGUGGUAACACAAACGAAACUGGAGACGUUGGCGAGAGCCCCGGGAAGAGUUCUCUUUUCUUUUUAACAGACUGUUAGACCUUGGAAUCGGAUUGACCGGCGAUAAGGUUUAACAACUGGCAAAGCAGUAUCUUUAUUGUACUGUCCGGUGCGCUUUCGA
rnacentral:rRNA from 15 species